AAGUCGUAACAAGGUUUCCGUAGGUGAACCUGCGGAAGGAUCAUUAUCGAGUUAGGGUUCCCUCUCAGGGCCCGACCUCCAACCCGGUGUCUAACCUUACCACUGUUGCUUCGGCGGGCCCGCCUCUGACGAGGCCGCCGGGGGUCUCCGUGCCCCUGGUCCGCGCCCGUCGACAGCCCCCCAACAAACUCUUGAUAAACCGUGUCCAGUCUGAAUUAUUAUUUAAAAAGCACAAAACUUUCAACAACGGAUCUCUUGGUUCUG
rnacentral:misc_RNA from 1 species